rnacentral:rRNA from 1 species
GACGAACGCUGGCGGCGUGCCUAAUACAUGCAAGUUGAGCGCUGAAGGUUGGUACUUGCACCCACUGGAUGAGCAGCGAACGGGUGAGUAACGCGUGGGGAAUCUGCCUUUGAGCGGGGGACAACAUUUGGAAACGAAUGCUAAUACCGCAUAAAAACUUUAAACACAAGUUUUAAGUUUGAAAGAUGCAAUUGCAUCACUCAAAGAUGAUCCCGCGUUGUAUUAGCUAGUUGGUGAGGUAAAGGCUCACCAAGGCGAUGAUACAUAGCCGACCUGAGAGGGUGAUCGGCCACAGUGGGACUGAGACACGGCCCAAACUCCUACGGGAGGCAGCAGUAGGGAAUCUUCGGCAAUGGACGAAAGUCUGACCGAGCAACGCCGCGUGAGUGAAGAAGGGUUUCGGAUCGUAAAACUCUGUUGGUAGAGAAGAACGUUGGUGAGAGUGGAAAGCUCAUCAAGUGACGGUAACUACCCAGAAAGGGACGGCUAACUACGUG